GACGAACGCUGGCGGCGUGCUUAACACAUGCAAGUCGAGCGGUAAGGCCCUUUCGGGGGUACACGAGCGGCGAACGGGUGAGUAACACGUGGGUGACCUGCCCUCAGCUCUGGGAUAAGCCUGGGAAACCGGGUCUAAUACUGGAUAUGACUCCAUGACGCAUGUUGUGGGGUGGAAAGCCUUGUGCGGCUGAGGAUGGGCCCGCGGCCUAUCAGCUUGUUGGUGGGGUGANGGCCUACCAAGGCGACGACGGGUAGCCGGCCUGAGAGGGCGACCGGCCACACUGGGACUGAGACACGGCCCAGACUCCUACGGGAGGCAGCAGUGGGGAAUCUUGCGCAAUGGCCGGAAGGCUGACGCAGCGACGCCGCGUGGA
rnacentral:rRNA from 1 species